AAAACGAAAAAAGAACGUGUUAUUCCUUAGCACGUUACAUAACAAUGUUGAAAUAGACUCCAAUCACCCUAAGAAAAAGCCAAAAACUAUGGCAUAAAAUCAUAGUGUCAAAGCGGCAUCUCGAAGGUGGCCGUACAUUUUUUCAAUUCUUCUCGAUCUUCUACUUAAAAUCCGGAAACUCGGAAAAUGUUAUGUACAAAAGUACAAAAAUAAAACUAAUAAAGACACUUGUAAAAAGCCACUUUGCGGCUCUUGUAAUGUAAAGAAAAUGUUAAAAUGUAAAAUAUGUGUAUAAAUAUUAUAAUUAAUCAUACAUCAAACCCUGUUUUAUUACUAUAGUUACCAUUUUUAACAGCUAAAAUAAUAAAAAAAGGUGUAAUAUAUUGGAGGAGUCAUUUGACCGGUCGCCGUCUUUGUAGGUAGAUAGAUUUUCCCGUCUUUCUAGUGUUAAAAGUUCU